UCAAGCGUGAGGUAAGGGCAUCUGGUGAAUGCCUUGGCAUGUACAGGCGAUGAAGGACGUGGCACGCUGCGAUAAGCGUGGGGGAGCUGUGAGCAAGCUUUGAUCCCGCGAUUUCCGAAUGGGACAACCCACCUUCACCAUUUAAUCCUUGUCCUGAGGAAACUCAGGAUCAGCGGUUAAAUGGGAGAGGUAUCACUAAGCUGAAUAAAAUAGGCUUUGGUGAGGCGAACCCGGAGAACUGAAACAUCUCAGUACCCGGAGGAAAAGACAUCAACCGAGAUUCCGUUAGUAGUGGCGAGCGAACGCGGACCAGGCCAGUGCCGACUUCUUAAUUAGCAGAACCUUCUGGAAAGUAGGGCCAUAGCGGGUGACAGCCCCGUAUGCGAAAAUGAAGAUGUCGGACUUGAGUAGGGCGGAGCACGUGAAACUCUGUCUGAACAUGGGGGGACCACCCUCCAAGCCUAAAUACUCGUACAUGACCGAUAGCGAACCAGUACCGUGAGGGAAAGGUGAAAAGCACCCCGAUGAGGGGAGUGAAACAGUACCUGAAACCGGAUGCCUACAAGCAGUGGGAGGGUCCUUGAGACCUGACCGCGUACCUCUUGCAUAAUGGGUCUGUGACUUAGUGUAUCGAGCAAGCUUAAGCCGUUAGGUGUAGGCGCAGCGAAAGCGAGUCUGAAUAGGGCGACUGAGUUCGAUGCAUUAGACCCGAAACCCGGCGAUCUAGGCAUGACCAGGUUGAAGGUGCGGUAACACGCACUGGAGGACCGAACCGUUUAAUGUUGAAAAAUUAUCGGAUGAGUUGUGUUUAGGGGUGAAAGGCCAAUCAAGCCGGGAAAUAGCUGGUUCUCCGCGAAAUCUAUUGAGGUAGAGCGUCGAAUGAUUGCCGUUGGGGGUAGAGCACUGGAUGGAUGCGGGGGUCGCGAGAUCUACCAACUCUAACCAAACUCCGAAUACCAACGAGUCUAGUUCGGCAGACAGACGGCGGGUGCUAAGGUCCGUCGUCAAAAGGGAAACAGCCCUAACCUACAGCUAAGGUCCCCAAGUCACGUCUAAGUGGGAAAGCAUGUGGGAUUUCCAAAACAACCAGGAGGUUGGCUUAGAAGCAGCCAUCCUUUAAAGAAAGCGUAACAGCUCACUGGUCUAAAUAAGAGAUCCUGCGGCGAAGAUGUAACGGGGCUCAAGACGUGCACCGAAGCUUAGGGUUCAGUCUUUGACUGAGCGGUAGCGGAGCGUUCCGUAGGCCGUUGAAGCGAUCUGGUAAUGGGUCGUGGAGGUAUCGGAAGUGCGAAUGCAGACAUGAGUAGCGAUUAACAGUGUGAGAUGCACUGUCGCCGAAAUUCCAAGGGUUCCUGCUUAAAGCUAAUCUGAGCAGGGUAAGCCGGCCCCUAAGACGAGCCCGAAGGGGGUAGUCGAUGGGAACCACGUUAAUAUUCGUGGGCCUGGAGGUGUGUGACGGAUGGCGUAAAUUGUUCGGCCUUAUUGGAUUGGUCCGGGCAGUGAAGUUGUCCCAGGAAAUAGCCCCUCCGUAUAGACCGUACCCUAAACCGACACAGGUGGAAUGGUAGAGUAUACCAAGGCGUUUGAGAGAAGUAUCCUGAAGGAACUCGGCAAAUUGCCUCCGUACCUUCGGAAGAAGGAGGCCCCACAUAUGCGCAAGCACUUGUGGGGGGCACAGGCCAGGGGGUAGCGACUGUUUAGCAAAAACACAGGGCUCUGCUAAGUCGGCUUCAAGACGACGUAUAGGGCCUGACGCCUGCCCGGUGCCUGAAGGUUAAGAGGAGGAGUGCAAGCUCUGAAUUGAAGCCCAGGUAAACGGCGGCCGUAACUAUAACGGUCCUAAGGUAGCGAAAUUCCUUGUCGGGUAAGUUCCGACCUGCACGAAUGGCGUAACGACUUCCCCACUGUCUCCAGGAUAUGCUCAGCGAAAUUGAAUUCUCCGUGAAGAUGCGGAGUACCCGCGGUUAGACGGAAAGACCCCGUGCACCUUUACUGCAGCUUCAGAGUGGCAUUAGGAAAGAACUGUGUAGCAUAGGUGGGAGGCUUUGAAGCGAUGACGCCAGUUGUCGUGGAGCCAUAGGUGAAAUACCACCCUGUUGUUUUCUGAUGUCUAACCUCGCACCGUUAUCCGGUGCAGGGACCCUCUGUGGCGGGUAGUUUGACUGGGGCGGUCGCCUCCUAAAGAGUAACGGAGGCGCGCGAUGGUGGGCUCAGGACGGUUGGAAACCGUCUGUUAGAGUGCAAUGGCAUAAGCCCGCCUGACUGCGAGACUGACAAGUCGAGCAGAGACGAAAGUCGGUCAUAGUGAUCCGGUGGUCCCUCGUGGAAGGGCCAUCGCUCAACGGAUAAAAGGUACGCCGGGGAUAACAGGCUGAUGAUUCCCAAGAGCUCAUAUCGACGGAAUCGUUUGGCACCUCGAUGUCGGCUCAUCACAUCCUGGGGCUGGAGCAGGUCCCAAGGGUUUGGCUGUUCGCCAAUUAAAGUGGUACGUGAGCUGGGUUCAGAACGUCGCGAGACAGUUUGGUCCCUAUCUGCCGUGGGCGUCGAAAUUUGAGAGGAGUUGACCCUAGUACGAGAGGACCGGGUUGAACAUACCUCUGGUGUACCUGUCGUCGUGCCAACGGCGCAGCAGGGUAGCUAUGUAUGGACGGGAUAACCGCUGAAAGCAUCUAAGCGGGAAGCCUCCCUCAAGAUAAGAUUUCUUCGAGCGGUCGUAGACCACGACCUUGAUAGGCCGGAUGUGGAAGUGUGGUAACAUAUGGAGCUAACCGGUCCUAAUUGCUCUGAUCGCGCCUG
rnacentral:rRNA from 1 species